rnacentral:rRNA from 1 species
AUUGAACGCUGGCGGCAUGCCUAACACAUGCAAGUCGAACGAGUGGCGGACGGGUGAGUAAUGUCUGGGCAACUGCCCGCUGGAGGGGGAUAACUACUGGAAACGGUAGCUAAUACCGCAUACCAUCGGAUGUGCCCAGAUGGGAUUGGCUAGUAGGUGGGGUAACGUCUCACCUAGGCGACGAUCCCUAGCUGGUCUGAGAGGAUGACCAGCCACACUGGAACUGAGACACGGUCCAGACUCCGACGGGAGGCAGCAGUGGGGAAUAUUGCACAAUGGGCGGAAGGCUGAUGUAGCCAGGCCGCGUGUAGGAAGAAGGCCUUCGGGGUGUAAAGGACUUUCAGCGGGGGGGCGUUACCCGCAGAAGAAGCACCGGCUAACUCCGUGCCAGCAGCCGCGGUAAUAC